UACAGAGGUGGCAAGCGUUGCUCGGAAUCAUUGGGCAUAAAGGGCGUCUAGGCGGAUGUGUCAGUCGGUUGUGAAAUCCCUCGGCUUAACCGAGGAACUGCUGCCGAUACUGCAUGUCUUGAGGAUGAGAGGGGAGAGUGGAACUCCAGGUGGAGCGGUGAAAUGCGUAGAUAUCUGGAGGAACGCCGGCGGCGAAAGCGACUCUCUGGCUCAUUCCUGACGCUGAAGCGCGAAAGCUAGGGGAGCGAACGGG
rnacentral:rRNA from 1 species